rnacentral:rRNA from 1 species
AUUGAACGCUGGCGGCAGGCCUAACACAUGCAAGUCGAGCGAGUGGCGGACGGGUGAGUAAUGUCUGGGAAACUGCCUGCAGGAGGGGGAUAACUACUGGAAACGGUAGCUAAUACCGCAUACCAUCAGAUGUGCCCAGAUGGGAUUAGCUAGUAGGUGGGGUAAUGGCUCACCUGGGCGACGAUCCCUAGCUGGUCUGAGAGGAUGACGAGCCACACUGGAACUGAGACACGGUCCAGCCUCCUACGGGAGGCAGCAGAGGGGACUAUUGCACAAUGGGGGAAAGCCUGACGCAGCCAUGCCGCGUGUGUGAAGAGGGCGUUCGGUUUGUAAAGCACUUUCAUCGGGGAGGCGGUACCCGCAGAAGAAGCACCGGCUAACUCCGUGCCAGCAGCCGCGGUAAUAC